AUGCAAGAUCGGGUCGGUCUGGUCCUGGACGGCUUCCCGCUCGACCAUGAGUUUUCGGAGGACUACAACCUUGAGGAAGAGGAUUAGUUGGACAUCGACGGGGAGCCUUUGUUCGAGGAUGAGCUCGCCAACGAAGCCGUCGGGGUGAAGCCAAAGAACAAGAGUAGGCGGACGAAGGCAUACACGGUGGCCGAGGACAAGCUCCUUUGUGAGUGUUGGAGGGACACUGGGCAAGACCCCAAGGUCGGCGCCGAACGAAAGGCAUCAACCUUUUGGACUCAUGUCCAUUGUGAGUUUCAUGAACGCAAGAAGUUUCCGUCGUACCAAAUGCAAAGCAUAAGCGGGUGGGUGUCCAUUUCAAAGCGAUGGAAGGUGAUCCAACAAGAGUGCAACAAGUUCUGUGCCACUUUUGAGAGCAUCAAGGCACGCCCCGUGAGCGGCAUCGGCAUGCAAGACAUGGUAUCCAUGCAUGUGCCCCUCUUUGUUUCAUUCCGUUUAUUGCCAAUAUGCUUGCAUGCAAUUCAUUUGUAG
rnacentral:rRNA from 1 species